UACGAAGGGGGCUAGCGUUGCUCGGAAUUACUGGGCGUAAAGGGCGCGUAGGCGGACAGUUUAGUCAGAGGUGAAAGCCCAGGGCUCAACCUUGGAAAUGCCUUUGAUACUGGCUGUCUUGAGUUCGGGAGAGGUGAGUGGAAUGCCGAGUGUAGAGGUGAAAUUCGUAGAUAUUCGGCGGAACACCAGUGGCGAAGGCGACUCACUGGCCCGAUACUGACGCUGAGGCGCGAAAGCGUGGGGAGCAAACAGG
rnacentral:rRNA from 1 species